rnacentral:rRNA from 1 species
AGCAAGCACCGGCUAACUCCGUGCCAGCAGCCGCGGUAAUACGGAGGGUGCAAGCGUUACUCGGAAUCACUGGGCGUAAAGCGCGCGCAGGCGGCUAUUUAAGUUGGAUGUGAAAGCCUACGGCUCAACCGUAGAACUGCAUCCAAAACUAUUUAGCUAGAGUGUGGGAGAGGAAGAUGGAAUUAGUUGUGUAGGGGUAAAAUCCGUAGAGAUAACUAGGAAUACCAAAAGCGAAGGCAAUCUUCUGGAACACUACUGACGCUGAGGCGCGAAAGCGUGGGGAGCAAACGGGAUUAGAUACCCCGGUAGUCCACGCAGUAAACGAUGAAUGUUAGUCGUCGGGGGCCUAGUGUCUUCGGUGAUGCAGCUAACGCAUUAAACAUUCCGCCUGGGGAGUACGGCCGCAAGAUUAAAACUCAAAGGAAUAGACGGGGACCCGCACAAGUGGUGGAGCAUGUGGUUUAAUUCGAAGAUACGCGAAGAACCUUACCUAGCCUUGACAUAUUUAAGAAUCCGGUAGAGAUACUGGAGUGCCUUCGGGAGCUUUCUUACAGGUGCUGCACGGCUGUCGUCAGCUCGUGUCGUGAGAUGUUGGGUAAGUCCCGCAACGAGCGCAACCCUCGUCACUAGUUACUAACGGUUCGGCCGAGGACUCUAUGAGACUGCCUUCGAAGGAGGAGGAAGGUGAGGACGACGUCAAGUCAUCUGGCCUUACGGCAGGGCAACACACGUGCUACAUGGCCAGGACAGUGAGACGCGAUACCGUGAGGGGAGCAA